rnacentral:rRNA from 1 species
CUGAGGUCAAGUUAUUAAGAGCGUACGGUGGAUGCCUUGGCGCCAGAAGCCGAAGAAGGACGUAGAAAGCUGCGAAAAGCUGCGGAGAG